UCAAAGUUGGUGAGGGCUAUCAGUUUUUUCGAUUGAGAUCUAAUGUAACUGAGAAGUGGUGGAAAAAUAGGUCAUUAAUCAAUGCUGAGCCUGGUGUCAAACAAUCCUGACUUGCUCUGGGGACAAGUCACUGCAACACCAGAGCCAUGUGGGGGAAGUUCCCAGAAUUCUCUUCAAUUUAUUCCUGCCAACACACAGACCAUUAAUUAAAACCUUUCUCUAAAACUUGUUUAUUUUAGCUUUGCUCAUGGGAUCAAGUUUUGUGCUCCUUUACAAUGACAGCAGUACAGUAAACCAAACAAGUCGUAAGUUUGUGGCUAAUCUUUCCUGUUUCUGUACUGAGGGGGAAGCUCUCCAGAAGCUGAUGCCAGGUUGGCUUUUUCAGAGUUAAUGAGCUGCUCUGCUAUGUGUGACACCAGAAGCAAGGUGACUCGUACACAAGUGUAUUAAUCUUCAUGUGAGAAGCUGGUGAGUGCUCCUGCUUGUGCUGGUGCUGCCUUCCAAAGGCUGCCGUGAAGCACCACCUGCUGACAGUCCCUGGGACUUGGAGAAAUGCAAACGGUUGCAAAAUGAUGUUCAGCUUGGAUUAAUGUACAAAAUGCCUGUUGAGAUGUAAUGGUACAGGUGUGGAAGGCAUAGCCUAAAGCAGGAGGAAGUGCUGACUGUGUUGGAAUGAAGAUCUAUGUAAGCUGUUAAACAAUAAUAGAAAACAGUAAAUAAGGAGGCCAUGAUAGUCUUUCCUUGAGCUUUUAUUCCAGCCAAACCGCUAUUAUAAAAUAACUAGCUGCUCUGCUGCUUGGGAUCCUGUCCUGGGGAGUCCCCAGGGGGCUCCAGAACAGCAGAGCUGUGUGUGCUGGCACCUUGCACACACAAACCCCCUUUCUUUGUUCAGAUUAGAAUCAGUUCAACCACAGAGUUUAACCUUGGUUGCUACAGUUAUUUACAGAAAGAGAAUGUUGCUGCAAGCCAACCCUCUAGGUCUAUCUCCAAACAAUAGCAACGAGCUGCAGAACAAGGAAGAAAGGGUUUAAUAAACAAUUCCAAGGCUCUAAGAGUUCUUUUGAUUAAAAAAA